rnacentral:rRNA from 1 species
CCUACGGGUGGCAGCAGUGAGGAAGAGUGGUCAAUGGGCGCGAGCCUGAACCAGCCAAGUAGCGUGAAGGAUGACUGCCCUACGGGUUGUAAACUUCUUUUAUAAAGGAAUAAAGUGAGGCACGUGUGCCUUGUUGUAUGUACUUUAUGAAUAAGGAUCGGCUAACUCCGUGCCAGCAGCCGCGGUAAUACGGAGGAUCCGAGCGUUAUCCGGAUUUAUUGGGGUUAAAGGGAGCGUAGAUGGGUUGUUAAGUCAGUUGGGAAAGUUUGCGGCUCAACCGGAAAAUUGCAAUUGAUACUGGCAGCCUUGAGUCCAGUUGCGGUAGGCGGAAUUCGUUGUGUAGCGGUGACAUUCUUCGAUCUCAC